rnacentral:rRNA from 1 species
CCUACGGGAGGCAGCAGUGGGGAAUAGUGGACAAUGGGGGAAACCCUGAUCCAGCGACGCCGCGUGAGUGAAGAAGUAAUUCGGUACGUAAAGCUCUAUCAGCAGGAAAGAAAAUGACGGUACCUGACAAAGAAGCCGCGGCUAACGACGGGCCAGCAGACGCGGUAACACGAAGGGGGCAAGCGUUAUCCGGAUUUACUGGGGGUAAAGGGAGCGGAGAAGGGAGCGCAAGUCUGGAGUUAAAUGCCGGGGCCCAACCCCGGAACUGCUCUUGAAACUGUGAAGCUGGAGUGCAGGAGAGGUACGCGGACUUCCUGGUGUAGCUGUGACAUUCGUAGAUAUCAG